GAUGAACGCUGGCGGCGUGCUUAACACAUGCAAGUCGAACGAAGCAUUUUAGCGGAACAUUUUCGGAUGGGAAGUUAAAAUGACUGAGUGGCGGACGGGUGAGUAACGCGUGGAUAACCUACCAUAUACAGGGGGACAACAGUUGGAAACGACUGCUAAUACCGCAUAAGCGCACAGUGCCGCAUGGCACGGUGUGAAAAACUCCGGUGGUAUAUGAUGGAUCCGCGUCUGAUUAGCUAGUUGGUGAGGUAACGGCCCACCAAGGCAACGAUCAGUAGCCGACCUGAGAGGGUGACCGGCCACAUUGGGACUGAGACACGGCCCAAACUCCUACGGGAGGCAGCAGUGGGGAAUAUUGCACAAUGGGCGAAAGCCUGAUGCAGCGACGCCGCGUGAGGGAUGAAGGUUUUCGGAUCGUAAACCUCUGUUGUACGGGAAGAAGGACUUGACGGUACCGUACGAGGAAGCCCCGGCAAACUACGUG
rnacentral:rRNA from 1 species